rnacentral:rRNA from 1 species
UACAGAGGGUGCGAGCGUUGUCCGGAAUCACUGGGCGUAAAGGGCGCGUAGGUGGUGGCUUAAGCGUGCGGUGAAAGCUCGGGGCUCAACCCCGAGUCGGCCGUGCGAACUGGGCUCACUGGAGCAUAGUAGAGGCAGGUGGAAUCCCGGGUGUAGCGGUGGAAUGCGUAGAGAUCCGGAAGAACACCGGUGGCGAAGGCGGCCUGCUGGGCUAUGGCUGACACUGAGGCGCGACAGCGUGGGGAGCAAACAGG